rnacentral:rRNA from 1 species
UACAGAGGUCUCAAGCGUUGUUCGGAUUCAUUGGGCGUAAAGGGUGCGUAGGUGGCGCCGUAAGUCGGGUGUGAAAUUUCGGAGCUUAACUCCGAAACUGCAUUCGAUACUGCGGUGCUUGAGGACUGGAGAGGAGACUGGAAUUCAUGGUGUAGCAGUGAAAUGCGUAGAGAUCAUGAGGAAGACCAGUGGCGAAGGCGAGUCCCUGGACAACUCCUGACACUGAGGCACGAAAGCUAGGGGAGCAAACAGG